rnacentral:tRNA from 1 species
GCGGGAAUGGCGGAACGGUAUACGCGCCUGAUUUAGGAUCAGGAUUUUAAGGGUUCGAAUCCCUUUUUCCGUAC